GACGAACGCUGGCGGCGUGCCUAAUACAUGCAAGUUGAGCGCUGAAGGUUGGUUCUUGUACCAACUGGAUGAGCAGCGAACGGGUGAGUAACGCGUGGGGAAUCUGCCUUUGAGCGGGGGACAACAUUUGGAAACGAAUGCUAAUACCGCAUAAAAACUUUAAACACAAGUUUUAAGUUUUAAAGAUGCAAUUGCAUCACUCAAAGAUGAUCCCGCGUUGUAUUAGCUAGUUGGUGAGGUAAAGGCUCACCAAGGCGAUGAUACAUAGCCGACCUGAGAGGGUGAUCGGCCACAUUGGGAAUGAGACACGGCCCAAACUCCUACGGGAGGCAGCAGUAGGGAAUAUUCGGCAAUGGACGAAAGUCUGACCGAGCAACGCCGCGUGAGUGAAGAAGGUUUUCGGAUCGUAAAACUCUGUUGGUAGAGAAGAACGUUGGUGAGAGUGGAAAGCUCAUCAAGUGACGGUAACUACCCAGAAAGGGACGGCUAACUACGUG
rnacentral:rRNA from 1 species